CAAUAGCGUAUAUUAAAGUUGUUGCAGUUAAAAAGCUCGUAGUUGGAUCUGAGGAGUGGAAUGGAUGGUUCACCUUUCGGUGCGACUGUCUGUUCGGCCUACACAGCCGUUGGAUGCCCUUGGUGCUCUUCAUUGAGUGCUUUGGGUGCCCGGCACGUUUACUUUGAAAAAAUUAGAGUGCUUAAAGCAGGCCUUGUGCUUGUAUAGUGUUGCAUGGAAUAAUGGAAUAGGACUUCGGUUCUAUUUUGUUGGUUUUCGGAUCCGAAGUAAUGAUUAACAGAGACAGACGGGGGCAUUUGUAUGGCGGUGUUAGAGGUGAAAUUCUUGGAUCGCCGCCAGACAAACAACUGCGAAAGCAUUUGCCAAGAAUGUUUUCAUUAAUCAAGAACGAAAGUCAGAGGUU
rnacentral:rRNA from 1 species